UACGGAGGGGGCUAGCGUUGUUCGGAAUUACUGGGCGUAAAGCGCACGUAGGCGGCUUUGUAAGUUAGAGGUGAAAGCCCGGGGCUCAACCCCGGAAUUGCCUUUAAGACUGCAUCGCUUGAAUUGUGGAGAGGAGAGUGGAAUUCCUGGUGUAGCGGUGAAAUGCGCAGAUAUCAGGAAGAACACCCGUGGCGAAAGCGGCUCUCUGGAACGGUACUGACGCUGAGACGCGAAAGCGUGGGGAGCGAACAGG
rnacentral:rRNA from 1 species